AGACGUACUUGACGCCGAGUCUAGGAUAAUCAGUAAAGCUCUGACCCCAGACAGAGGCUCAGCACUGCACCCCGCUGUGUUGAAGCCUGCGACGAACUCUAGUCGGGUUCGGUAGGGUGCAUAGUUUUGGUCAAUGGGCAGCCUCCGGGCGUCCCUGG
rnacentral:snRNA from 12 species